UUUCUUAUAUUUGAAAGGGCGUCGAUAAGGAUAUUUGCCUCAGAGCCUCCACAUUCCUUAAUCUGGCCCUGCAUACAAGAACACUGUUUUCUCUGUAGUGUGAAUACGUGUAUUCUAGAAGUUAUUAGUCUUUUUUUCUAUACGAAACAUUAUAAAAUAUACUAGAAGAUACUACUGUCUAUGUUAUAUAGAACAUUAUCAAAUGUAUAAAAACACUGUCUCCUGUAAAGUAUUAAAAUAUCUGCUCUAGAGCAACGUUUCCUAAAGUGUGGUCGGCGCCCGGUACCGGUCCUUUGAAAAAAAAUGCCGGUCCUCAGAAAGUGGAUUCAUUAAUUGAACUUUGCUGUGACACCGUCUUGAAAUAGAAUUUUGAUAAGCUCUCAUUGAUUAAUUUUUGGCUGAGUUGUUCAAAUGAAUAUGCAGAGUUAUCUGAAAAAAACGGUCAGAUUCCUAAUGCCUUUCGUUACCACAUAUAAGUGUGAAACUAGCUUCUUUUCUUUAGUUUUCUUAAUAACAAGUAUAAAAAUAGAUUGAAUGUCGAACCAGAUUUGAGGGUUAAAUUAACUUCCUUUCCUCCUGACGUUAUGUAAUAACAAACAACAUCAUCCUUUACUUUAGCAAGUUGUCUUUUUCCUGAUUCCUAAUGUUGUAAACUUGUUUGUUUGUAAUUAAGCACAAAGCUACACAAUGGGCUAUCUGUGCUCUGCCCACCACGGGUAUCGAAACCCGGAUUCUAGCGUUGUAAGUCCGCAGACAUACCGCUGUGCCACUGGGAGGCUCGUAAACUUGAAUAGACAGUGAAAUUUAAUUUCUAAUUCCUAAUGUUGUAAGAUUGAAUAAUCAGUGAAAUACAAUUUCUUCCAUGAUUUUCAUGGUAUCAUAAAUAUACAUAUUUAAUUCAGCAAAAUCGUAAUUUACCGUGUGUACUUUGUAUGUACAUAAUUGUACCUAUGUAUACAAGGUGGUUCGCAAAAAAUGAGAAUGAAAAAACCUGUUCCCUCGGUCUGUAAAAGUUUGGGAAACGCUGUCUAGAGAAUAUUACUGUUUUUAUUAUACGUAAAAUUAUCAAGUGUGCUAGAACACUGUUUUCGAUGAAGUACGAAUACGUGUGCUGUCUCUAUUAUAAUUAUUAUAUUUUCAACUAUGCAGAAACUGUUUCAUGUGAGGUACGAAUAUAAGUGUUGUAAAUGUUACAACUACCUUUCGUAUACAGAACAUUAUACGUGUGAAGAGAACACCGUUUCCUGUGAGGUAUGAAUAUAAGUGUUGUAAAUGUUACAACUACCUUUCAUAUACAGAACAUUAUACGUGUGAAGAGAACACCGUUUCAUGUGAGGUACGAAUACGUGUGCUCUAGAAGUUAUUAUUCUAUUUAUUAAUAUAGAACUUUAUCAGUUGCGCAAGAAGCCUGUUUCUAUGACGUACGAAUACAUGUAUUCUAGUGAUCAUUGUUGUGUUUCUUAUACAGAACAUUAACAAGUAUGCAAGAACACUGUUUCUUGUCCGAUAUAUUUUAUUAGUGUGCAACAUCAUUGCUUCCUGGAGACUAUGAAUACAUCUGCUCUAGAGGUUCUUACUGUCUAUGGUAUACAGUAUAUUACCAGGUGUACAAGAACACUACUUCCUGUGAAGUAUGGAUACAUGUGUCAUAAAGCUUACUACUGCCUUUCUUAUACGGCACAUAAUCAAGUGUGAAAAACACGGUUUCCUGAGAGGUGUGAAUACACCUGUUUGGAAGUUAUACAGAACGUUAUCAAGAACACUGUUUUCUCAGAGAUUCCCUCGACGAAAUCUGAAGUUCAGGUCCAGCAAAAACACUGAAAACGCCUAACGACACUGAAAAGGAAGCUUCACUCAAUCUGGAACAAGGAUAUCACCACAUAGCUUAUACAAUCAAGCUCAAUUCAGCUGAGCUGAAUAUAAAGUCCGCCAACUGACUGUGAAGGCUUAACAGUUGUAAUUCCUAAUCGUCGUUUUUUGUUUGGCUUUUCAAAGUUGUUUCAAGGUUUUACUUAUUUCAUUACUUUAGAAGUAUUGAUUUCUGAACUUAGAAGAGUUAUUUGAAAUUUUGUAUAAGUUUCUUUAUUAUAGAAUUAAGUAAUUAUUAUUUAACUUAUACAUUAUUUUUGUGAGUGUUUGGGUGGUUGUAUGCCUAAUUCGUCUGAAAUUGUAAACUUCAUUAGCACAAAUUUCGUUAAUAUUUCUUACCUGUCUGAAAAGAACUUCACCCCAGAACAUGGAUUUCAACUAUUUAGCCACGAUUGAUAACUUCUCCUUAAAACAGCUUUCACAGCAAAUAUUUAUUUACCUCUCUCUCUCUCUCGUAGAUGAACUCAUUGUAAUAAUCUCAUUUUUAAACUUAUUUUCUAUAAUCAGUGGUUUUCUUAUAGAAUUUUACGUAAAACUUACUUGAGCUGCGAAAGCUACGUUUAAAAUGAAAAUUUCUUUUAGUUGAAAGUGUUGUUGAAGAGUUGAAAACAAAAAAUAUGUUUUUUCGGUGUGCUAACUGGAACAUUAAUGUUCAUAUUCCAAAACUUUGUUUGUGCUGUAAAGAACAGUAUGGUUUCCUGUUCGCAUGGAAGUAGAUUCUAUCGUAAAAUGCUUCUUCAGAAACAUUGUAAGUACUCCCAGAUUUGUAUCAAACUGAAGUUUUCAAUUUCAUUUCUGUAUUCUCAGGACUGAGUGUGAAUUUGUGGUAGGUAUGUACACUGUAAAUCAGGACUAGGUGAUACCUCACUAAGACUCUUCUUAGUAUUUCUCAGUUGUUUUUGGUAUUAAAGGUAAUACAUCUGGCAAUGAAUUUGUUAUUUCUACGUUUUAAAUAUUACUUAAAAAGGUGCUCACCUGGUAGACUGUACUUUUCUUUCACACAUAUAUUGAUUCAUGACAAUACUGAUGUUAUACAAGUUAAAACCAUUUGCCUUUUCACAGGAUUCGUGAGCAUUUGAUCAAUGGAUGUCAUUAAAGAUUUUCCGUUGGAGAGUUCACAUUGCAUGCUAUGAUAUUUACUGUAUGUUUUGGAGUUGACUAAGUAUAUAACCACACUUUGUUGGGCAAUAAAAUCUUCUAUUUCCUCAACUA